ACCCCACCCGACCAGGCAGGCCGGCCAGGCAUUCUGGCUCCCGUGUGGGCACCGCCUCAGGCCGCAGCAAAGGCCAGCAAUGGAGAGCAGUCAGCGCCGGGUUACAGGGCUGGCCACGGCUGUGCUGUGUGGAGCCAGGUCCCCCCAAGACCCUCUCUGAGCCAGCUUGUGCAGAAUGGAGCUGGGCGAUGAAGGGGAGGGGGCCGCCCUGCAGAGGGUGUUGGCGUGGUCGUUUGGAGACAGGGUCUCCGGGAGCCCAGGCUCAGCUCACACUCAUUCUGUAGCUGACCCCUGACACCCCGGACUCUCCCCAGGGCUGGGACGGCAAGCAAGCGUGUGUGCUUCACCCUGGCGAGGGGUGCCAGGGCGGGAGCCAGCACACUGAACUUCAACCUCAGGCCUGCCAGGAAGGCACUGUACCCACGGAGCCCGACCCAGCCCUACCGGCUUUGGGAUCAAGAUAUUUCCGGCCCGAAAUAAGCCUGGAUCAGGUGCCCAAGACCUCAGCUUGCGAUCCUGUGGCCACAGACAUGAGUUGGCAAGGCAGGCAGGACACAGCCUCAGUUUCCCCAUACAUGAAACGAGGCUCACAUAGCUCCAGGCCACAGCCGUCUUAGGCGCUCGAAUGCACACAUGCACCCCGGAAGACACAAAGGCAAAGCCGCGGACGGUUUCUAUUUCUCCGUCCAUGUGCCCGGCCCGCGCAGAAUCAAAAGUAGGGCUGAUGUCAUCCGAGCCCGGGUCCAGCGUGGCCCACGCAAGCCGGCGCCACCGUCACGGGCGUUCUCGGCCAGGGAAUCCCGGCCCGGGUGGAAACCCGUGACGCCCGCCCGCGCAGGUCUGCGGGCUCCAGGCGCGGAGGGCGUGGCCAGGGGCGUGGCCGGGGCCGGGGGCGUGGCCUCGCCCUCUAACUGCUGCAAAGCCAGCGUCCUGGUGCCCUGGUGCCCGCGUGCCCCGGGGGAGUGCAAGCACCCGUGAGUUUGUGACAUCCCCGAAACUCACGCGGGCAGUGAUCCCGCGCGGGAUGCAUUGUGGGGUCUGUGCAGCCGCAGGCUUGCGGUGAGUGAGGGACAAGUGGACACUCAGCCACCCCCCAGGCAGUACCACUACACAAGCUGAGCCCGGUGCCCGCCUGUCGCACCAGCGCAUGGGUGAUAGAGGCAGGAGGGUUGGAAGUUCAAGGUCAUCCUAGACUGUACAGUGAGUCUGAGGCCAGCCUGGGCUACGUGAGACCCUUCCAAGCCCUAGCCUAAUUCAAGAUCUGAGGGGGCAGGAAUGGAGAGGAGGUCCCCCAAAGUAUCCCCUCCCCUGACUGGACACGCGCACACACCCUGCAGGUGCCCCGAGCCUGUGGGCGUGGGGCCGCCACGAUGACUGGCGGCCGUUCACUGUCUCCUCACUCACUCGUCUGGGAUCUAAUUACCGUCAGGGUGAGACGGCCUGGCUGGAAAGAUGAGCACAUCCCAGGGUGUCUGCAGCCUGUCUGGGUCUCCCCGGCCCUUCACAGUCAGUUCCCCUGGCAGGAAAGGAGAGCCCAGGCGGGGUCCGGGCUGACCUUGCUGUGGUCACUUGGAGGGGGGACCCUUUCGUUUCUAUGUGGGUCCUGGGAGGUGGGGAUGGCUGAGUGACCUGGGCUCCUUCUAUCCAUGGUGUGCAGGUCCCCAGCAGACAGAUGGAAGGAGCAGCCAGUUACCAGGAGAAGGAGAAAGCCAGAAGUAGCUCCUGAAAGUUAACCCUCUGCCAUCCACACCCAUGCAGUGGCACCUCUGCAUUCCUCGCAAAAUAAGUGAAAUUUAAAACACUUUUAAAGUAAAAGGAGAAGGAAAGAAAAGAUGAUUCUGGGUGUGAGGAGGGAGGCCCCAGCCCCAUCCUCUCUUCCCCACUCCGGAUCUCAGCCUCCCCCAGGGCCUCACCACUGUCCUCCCAGCAGGGCCCCUACCAGAUGCCCCUCCCUGCCCGCAGGACAGGGAGAUCCUUCCCUCUUGGGGCCUCAGUUUCCCCACUGUGAAAUGAGAAGAGGCUUCUGAUGGUGCCUGGAUGUCAGUUUCCCAAGACAUGGACCCCAUCCGACUUUGACAACCAGACCUCCUCACGCCGAUGCUGGCUGUUCUCUUCUGGAAUGUUCUGCAAGCAAAGGAAAUCUCGAAUCAUGAAAAUACUUAAAUACUCGCAGGGAGUGUGAGACUAAUCACACCCUAAAUGUCCCUCCAGACCCAGGCCGGGGGCCCAGUGGCCUUGGAGAAAAGACCAGGGGAGGCGGAACUCAGGACAGUGAGAGAUGGAGCAGAGGAGGAGACCCUUGGGUGCACCUGGCUCUGGUUUCUGCCAGCGGGGAGUUGAAGUGUAGGUAGGUGCUUACGUGCUCAGACUGUUCGUUCCAAGGCUUUUUUUUUUUUUUUUUGAUGUACAAGUGCCGGUGCAUAAUUACGGCACAUUACAAACUGAAAUGUCUGUGUAUUCUUGUACCGGUUCAUUAAACAAAUAUUUACCGAGUG